GCCUCCCUAUUGCCUGCUGCCUUUAGAUAUGCUAUGAUGAUAGCGACGCCUCUUCUGGUCUAUAUGUGUUCAUGCAUCUCUUAGCCUACCUACAUCUGUGAGACUGAGUCGAUGAAGUCUGCUGCUCCUGUGGCGUGCUGCUAGCGGUAGCAGCCGCAUCAGCAGCAGCUCUAGAACCAACAGCAUCAGCAGCCAUUAUCACCGCCGCCAAACAGUCCUUCUUGUAACUCUUACAACGAUUUACUGGUUGUGUAUGCAGCAGCAGCAGCAGCAGCAGCUUUAGGGCUGAGCUGAACUUUCCCCUUCUCUUCUCUCCGCUGCCGGAUUCCGUACGUGUGGCGGUCUGCUGUGGCUUGCGCCGGUCACCCGCUGCCUGUUGUCUUUGCUGCUGGUUGGGCGCACAGUGGCAUCGUUCCAUAGGGACGGUUUCGCUGUGACGUGUUUAUGCUGUAGCUGUGAGUGCUACUGCUGUUGCUGCUGCUGUUGUUGCUGCUGCUGAUCUCUACCGGAGUAGUAGUGGUGGAGUGGCGACCGUGCUGCUGCCGUAGCCGCUGCGAGUUUUGCUGUGAACUCUCAAUAGGCACCAGCAGCAGCCAUACUACAGAAGUGGCUGUGGAUGCAGGAGAGCUAGUAGCCGUAGUAAUAACAGAGGCUACCGCCGUCGCAGGCGUGUCGGCUAAAGAGCCAGCCAUCAGUCUCGCAAGUCUUCGACUGCGAUGAUGUGCUGCUGCUGCUGCUGCUGCUGCCGCCGUCGUCGCUCACCUAAGCAGCGCGUACAGUGAAGGUGAAACCCGGUGGGUGGUAAGGCUGAGUUGUCUGCCCGCUGACUUGUUUCUCUCUUUGUAGUAGUUCUGUUCUGUUUGCUGUAUCGUCUUGCGUGUACGUGCGUGUGUGUGUAUGUGCAUCUACGAGAGUGUUGAAUCGGGUGCUGGGCUGGCUGUUACUGGUGUCGCUCUUUGCGUCUGUGAGUUCUGCCAAAGAAACCCUCUUUAGCAGUAGAAGUCCCUACGGGACACGGUGAUCAGUACUACUGCCCGCGACACGCAGGGCAUUUGAACGGCAACAGAGUGGUGGAAUUGUGAAGGAAGAGGAAGACGAAAAUCCAUUAGUACCGUCGUCGCUAGCAGCAGCAGCAAUAACAACAACAACGAACUACGAACAACAGCGGCACCAUCGCCCUACAAUCAGUGUUGCCCCGGUCUGAUGUCCGCAGACAGUUGAUAGUCUGGUCCGACGAUUGUUGUGCUUGACUGGCCGUCAGCAAGCAGCAACCAUUAAGUCUGUUGGUCUCGUUGAGCUUUAGCUGUGCGUAGAUCUCUUUGCUAAGUUGCUGACUGUAGGAAAAAAAGGUGGAGGGUGUCUGUGUUUGUGCAGAAAAUGAAGUCGAUGAAUCUGUGGAGAAGGCUAUAGUAUAUCGAUAACAGACACCCGAAUGGACACAGGUUGUUUCUUUUACGCUUUAUAUGAGUGAAUAUUUUUUGCGUGUCUGCUUCGUGCGUGCUGUGAGAUGUGCAACGUCAACUGACUAACUCUAUUAGCCGUACGGAGUGUUGAGAUCGAAACAGGGCGUACGGGCUACGGAAGGCGGAGUAUCACCACUGCCGCCAUCACCAUUCAGCCCACGAAGAAUAGAACAAGCAGCGUCUGGCAGGGAGCUUGAGUGACGAGUUUGUUCGAGCUACUUGCUACUGUUGGCUGCUAUCGCCACUCUAUGAUCUGCAUCCGUUUCAUUGCUCCUAUGGACGGCGAAUCUUUUAGAGUCCCGUCGAAUCUCGGAGCAAAUAAAUAACGAGUUUGACAGUAAAUAACGCUCGCAGAAAAACAGCGAGAGCCAGCUGCUGUCAGUUCUCUCUCUCUCUCUCUUUUCCUCUCAUUUUUCAAUGUAUGCGUGAGUCGAGCAAACCAGCAAGUGGUCGCAACUGCUUUUGCAAUAUUUACUUCUUCGUUUUAUUUAUUGGUUUCCCCUAAAUGAGGUGCCCUUAAAUUGAGAACUUUGCUGUAUAAGAAAGUAGUAGUCAUCAGCUUCAGUCGUUGCUAUCCGUGGCUAUCAGCUAUAAUAGUCGUACGCUUCGCAGUGUCCUCGACAGACUGUCAGAUAGACGGUGUAUGGCAGCAGACAACGAAAUAUAGAAAUUUGCUGCUGGAAGAUCGUAUAAACGAGCCACUGUGUUUUAUAUUAUUUCUCGAUUUCUCGUGGUGUUAUUAUUGUGUAUGGAUCUGCGCACAUUAUAUGUCUUUGACGGUAAAAAAAAUACGCAUUCGUUUCGAUUGUACGAAGUCGUUUAGCAACAAAGGAAAACGACAAACGGCCUGUACACUCGUGUCGACGUUGCAGACACACGAGUUUUCGUAUCCGGAUUGUGUAUUUGUCGUGAAGUGAUGGUGGCGCUCAGAGAUCAAAGAGUGUGAACCGUGAGGAGUAGUGCGAUCGUUUCAUUGUUAUUACUAUUUUUAUUAUUGUUUUUGUUUUCUCGUGGAAUCGGUCCCACCUCGCUAGAUUGUGAUUUCGCUCUGACUGUGAUGCGGUUUCGUCAAAGCUGGGAUCCGCUGCGGCCAUUCUCAAUGUUUUCGUCGUCCUGAGACCGCCGAUCCUGCACAGGGGGGUGCCAGCCAGCGGCCAGAAGGCUGGGACUCCUCUGUGAGUGCUGGUCGCAGGUGGUACUCCUGCCUGUUUCUGUGUCUGAUAUUAUCGUCGAUCGAAGGCAGUGGUGUACGAAAGGGGUCGCCGUUUCGUCGGCGACAAACAUCAACUGUAGGCCGGCAAUCGCGCUGGUGGUGGGCGAACGUCCCGCUGCCACGUCUAAUUGAUAGCUGCGAUGAACUCCAAGGUUCCAUAUUAUUAUUCGGAGCUGACACCGCAGGAGCGGGCCGAACGUGCCGAACGAGCAGCUCAACAACAACAUAACGGGGAUGUCAGCAAUAUCCAAUCAGCGGACUCAAACGCUAACCAGAAUGGCGGCAAUGGAACGGAGACGGGAUUUUUCAAUCCACUGCUAAACAUAGAGCCCGACACUUCGGGGGCACCGAGUUCGCUGACGACUUCCAAGACUCGAAAGAAAAAAUCUCCGGUGGGGCCGGGCAGCCAAAAUCAGCCAAACACUGCCAACACGCAGCCUGUAUCGUCCGUAAAUAGUCCAACCAAGAAUAUCUACGGUACGACGGCUGCUUAUGCGAAGCAGCUAAUCUUUGGGAGCAAGGCGAAUAAGAACGGUUCAACGGCGGCGGCGGCGGCGCCACCAUCUGGUACAGGCGGAGGCGGAGGAGUUGGUGGCAUGCGGCACGCUGAGAGCUACACAUCACGACGGAACAGCUCGGAGCCGAAUAUUUAUGAGGAGAUUGGCUCCAGCUGUUAUUCGGAAUACGGCCUGCCGCAGAUGCUUCAACAGCAACAACAGCAACAACCGCAAGCCAAUGCAGGACCGCAGCAAGGUGUUUGCGCUGAGGUCAGCCGCGUUGAAGAAAGCCAUGCGCACAUUUUGGAGAAUCUCAAUCUUGAAGUGGAGUCGAUGCUUAUGCCUCCGGCUGAACAAGCUGCCCAUCUAAAGGCCGCACCGGCGAGUAACGGUAGCGCAGGUCUUGUUAACGGCUCGCAGGCAACGACACCCAAAGAACAACGUGAAAACAAUAGGGAUGAGGUGGUCAAGCAGCAUAGUAUGCCAGUAACAGGAAAGUUGUUGACGAAGCAAAACGCGUUGUCAAACAGCUCCUCGUCAGGAGCAGACCAUGUGUACCAAUUAUAUGAUGACGGACAUAAGGAUAACGACAACAUCUACGAGGAGGUAGACAUUUACCAAAGGCAGUUAGGCCUGGGUAUGGCAGGAGGUCUCGGUGGACUAGGUUUGGCCGGUCUUGCAGGACUCGGACAGGGGGUUCCAGAACACAGCCUCACUAGAUGGUUCUCGACGAGAGCGCGAAAGGACUCCAGAAGGCUGGCUUCUCAGCAGAACCUCAAUAACCUUCAGCAGCCACCCGGCCAAGAAAGCGGCUGCAACGGUGGCGCAGGCGGAGGCGUAGCUGGCGAAGGGGGUGGUGAAUAUGAAUGUGACCCUCUGUGGACGGGUUCAGGACCCCGCGGAAGGAAGCAACGCCGGCCACCUCUCAGUCUUCCGCCUAUGCCGCAAGGUUUAAGUCCGGAACAGGUCAAACGACGUCUCAUUGUGAACACGAUUGUCGAGUCCGAGAACUGCUAUGUUUCGGCGCUUCAUAGGUUAAUUGUCGAUUUCAAGCAGCCACUGCAGCGAUGUUCGCCACCAUUGCUAUCUGCUCAUAAGGUGGAUAUUAUGUUCCAUCGGGUAGAGCAGAUCCUUCAAUGUCACACAAUUUUCGGAAUUGCUCUUACGCAGUGCGUUUGGGAGUGGGACCAGAAAGAAAUGUUAGGAGACGUUUUUCUUGCGGCCUUUUCAAAGAACCACGUCCUCGAAAUUUACUCGGACUUUGUGAACAAUUUUACGACAGCUAUGGACACAGCACGUCAAGCCUCUGCUUCAAAGCCCCAGUUGGCGCACUUCCUUAAGGCGCCAACGUCGGGGCUUCUUCAUGAUGCCAGCCUCGCCGUGCACGCGGGUAUUCCUCACCAGUAUCGGAAGAUGCGACAGGUAUACAGUAGUGACCGAUUGGGCUUUUACGGAUUGAUGGUGAAACCGGUUCAGCGGUUUCCGCAAUUUAUCUUGCUUCUACAAGAUCUACUAGCAAACACCCCAAGCGAGCAUCAGGAUCGGCUUAGUCUGGAGCUCGCGCUCACACAGCUUGAGUGUCUGGCUGAGGCACUCAAUGAGCGGAAACGGAUCUGCGAGCAGAAUCAAGCCGCUCGCGAACUAGCAAAAUCGCUUGGUAGUGCAAAGAUUGGAUCAAAGGGAGUGGAACAGCUGCUGGUACGACAGGACGACGCGAGUCAAUUGGAAAUGGACUCGACAGGGUUGGUCGUGAAGACGAAGGCGAGACGCCUACUGAUGUUAAGCGAUACGCUGGUGUGCGCCUCAGGCGACGGAAAGAACAACGUCAAGUGGAGCGUGCCCAUCGUCGAGGUGGAAGUUUUGGAGGACCUUUCAGCGCGCAGUCUGCUAGCAGGACGCGCGGCACUUGCGACGACGCCGCAUUUUCUCAUGCCGCAUUCAGACGAUGCGAAGCAGGCCGCUAUUGACGAGCUGGCCGAUCUCGUACACGAUCUCGAAGUGAUGAACAGAGUUUGUGGAUUAGUAGCGACGCUGAAGCGGCCUCCGUCGGCACUGCCACCGGUUGAAGCGCUGUUUCAGGCAGCCCGAUGCAUUCAGGAGGCGAUCAAGGCCAAGGAAGAGGAGGUGGCGGCAACAGAUAGCGCCUGUCUCCAGCUGUGUGUGCCCGUCAAGGGAUCAAUAUUCUUUCAGUUCUGCAGCUCGACGACGAAGCGGGACUGGCUAACGGACCUGCGGUUAUGCAAGAUGUGGUUAGACUCAGAUAACCAGCCGGCAUGGGAGACGCUGCCGACGGCGCUGGCCAACGAAGCGCAGUUGGUCGUCAAUAAACACCCGCUACUGUCGAAAGUGAUGCCAUUAUUCCAGGCCACCCAGGCCACCGAAGUGAAUUGCGGUUGCUACUACACCGCUCUCUCGAAGCCCAACGGCGAGAAGAGCUUCCAGCCACCCCAUUAUCUAUGGCUGUGCAGUACCGACGGCAUCAAUUCGCACAUGGUCAUUCUUCAGCAGGGUUUAUCGGGAGGGCACUCAAUGCGGCCUGUCGGAGCAUUCGACCUGCCGGAAAGCCAAAUAACGGCCAUGGAAUGUGCGCCUCCGCCACGCGAAUGGUGUCCUGCGGGCCAGGCCCUCGAAGAUGUGGCGGAAACUGUCUGGAUUGCGACGGAAUCUAAAAGGUUGAUCCUCUUGCUGGCGUCGUGUCCGGACAAAUGGACUGAAGUUGGAAACACGCUGGUCACGUCGCCCGCUACGCAGAUCAAAUACUUCAACGCUAAUGUAUACGUGGCCCUGUCGAAUGGGCAGAUCUACGUAUACUCUCGGCUAUCGGACGGCACAGGUGCGUGGGACCUUGAUCAUCCGAUUGUCGUGACACUGGGUGCUGACCCAGUAACGUCGCUGCUUGCAUGCGCACGCCAAGAGGCGCUGCUGGCGGCAUGCGGGCCCAAAAUUUGGCGCAUUGAUGGCCACUCACAGCAGGUGCUCGACGAGCACGAGCUUCAUGUGCACCACGGACACAGCAAUCAAUUCCAUCCCGACCGGGAACGUCCCGAGCAGGGAGAGCACGCUAACCUUAUAGCGGCGGCUGGCACGGGAUUAUGGGUCUCAACCGUAAAUUCAAGCCUGCUAUGUCUCUACCAUCUGGAGACUUUCAAACAUCUUCAAGACAUCGAUGUCUCACCACCAGUCGUGCAGAUGCUGAAAACACCAGCUGCAUCAGUUUUUAUCACAUCGUUACAGGUGUCACGGGGCCUACUCUGGGCUGGCACCAAUGUCGGCGUUGUGGUUACCUUGCCACUGCCAAAACUCGAGGGUAUCCCCUUAGUGCCCCGUGGUUCAGUGUCUGCAUCUUACCAUGGCCACCAGGGCGCGGUUACGUUUUUGAUAAGCCUCGGUCCUUCAGAUCACCCUUCGUCAGGGAUCUCAGGGGGCUUACCUGGGCUACCAACGAGUGGCAUGGGCGUCAGUCAACCAGCACAGACGUCAAACAAUGGCCAAACGGGCGAUGGCGAAUCGAUCUAUGACUUGUACGCGGACUUGAUGCAUCUACAGGAAUACGAAUUUUAUGACGAGUCGUCGGAGCGCCUCAAUCGCUCGGAGCCGGAACUAAUCCAACUGGCUGACCCUGCAAGUCGGCCUCGGUCGUGGGAUAUGUCCAGUAUGGAUGUGUCGGCCCGUGGCAGUGAAGCGGACGAUACUGAAACCUCGCAGCAGAGCGAGACGCCUUUACAUCCAGCUCCAGCGGCCACGCCACCCGCGCCCGCUGCCAGUAACCUCAUAUCACCAUUGGUAAACGUGGCGGCUAAGACCUACGGAACUCUCCGAACACUUAAGAAAGGCAAGACCAAACAGCGGCCUCCACCGAAUGCCGAAACAUCUGGGAAUAUCGCCAACACCCCACCGAGCGUCAGUGGUGCCAAAAGCAGGAAUCAACGACGUCGUACGGUACUUACUUUGACCGGCGGAUGCGGAUACGUGAAUUUCAAAAAGGGAGGCGCACUCACUGGGGGCGGUGGCGAUGCAUGUGUCUUAGUGUGGGAGACUAAGGUUAGACAGGCCUAAACGAAGGCCUGCUGCAGGCCACUGCAGUAAGACUCGACAACAAAAUCUGCUCAAGUUUUUUGUAAUUGCAGCGAUUCGUUCUACUGUCGGCUACAUGACGUCCCUCACAACCAUUCAUCGCAGCCCGAACAGCAGCGCCAGCAAUGGCCACUGAGUGUAUAGUUUUAGCUACUGUGAUUCAGGUGGUUGCGUGCCGUGCCACCAAAAUGAGGACAUAACUUUAGCGUCACCCUACCUCUUUCGAAUCGCUAUUGCAAUGUCCAUUGGGAACAUCGUGCUCUUUGCAAGACUUGCCACUACUGUCCCCCUCCCUCAUUUCCUAAUUCCUCUUAGUUUUACUCUCAUCCGUUCCCAUCCACUGUCCUCAGCUCGCCCGGCUUGUUCGCUCGGUGGGCUGUGCUUCAGGCCUAAGUUCUUCGUCCUUUCCCGCCUGCUUGCGCGCCCCGUAGCUUUACCCUGGUCACGUGAUACCACUGGAGAGAGGACUUAUUGCCCCCCGUUGGUCCACUCCGAGCCUCCGGCGGCUCAACGGCACAGAGUUGCCCUCUCCUCUCGCAAAGCUCGAGAGAGGUGGAUGGUGGUGGAUGGUUGAUAGGCCCACUGCACUGUGCUGCUAUGUAGUACAGUAGUAGCAGUAGUUGUACGGAGAAAGAACGGAACAGCACGGCCUUCCCUGCCGCUUCCGUAGGGGGCAAGCGCCACAAAAUAAAAUGAGUGGAGCGAACCGAUCGCGGUAGUCUGGCUAGAGGAGGUGAGCUGGCUCGAAGCAGUGCCCUAGUCGAAGCGAUUUGUGGCGGCAAUAGACGACGCUAGAAGUUGUCGAGGUGCUCAAGGCGGCGAGGUCGAGCCCGCUGGCCCUCGUAUUACUGACAAGCCACUGAGCAAGCCCUCUGGCGUUCCCGCAAACGUGUCCGCGCCACGGCUGAGUCGUAAAGGGGGUAAGCGCGAUGCGAAGAGUGUGUAUCUCAUCUUCGUUGUGCUGGUGCUCGUGGUCGUGGUGUUUGCCGCGCGAACAGCCACCGCGGCAGGAACAGCGGCAGCGGCAAUAGCAUCUCCGGUUCUUUUUUGCCUUCCUCCUUCUGAUCGUCAAGAUUACAGUUAGAUUAUUUCUAGAUUGUGUCACUGCUAUCGCUGAUGACGGUAGUUGGCGGCUGGGCCAGCGUUGGCCAUAGUUGAGACACUGGUAGAGCCCAAAAAGAGGUGACAGUCGUACAGACUCGUUUAUUUCCCGAUUGAACCACCAAGUAACAGCUGCGUAACAGGCAAGGAAAACAGCGGGCAGACACACAGUGAACAGUGACAUCGGCGGGAGCGACAUCAGGAGCGACUGCAGUAACUCCUUUCGUGUGGGCGCGUCCGCGAAUUGUCUGUGCGACUGUCGCGUCGUAACUGUCGUCGUUGAUGGUAAGGAGACAGUGCCUGCGGGGACGACCGCGUUGGUUAACGAUCACGGUCGUGCUCUUAGUGAACUGAGAGGAGGCGGCAGUGAGUGAAUGAACAAGCAGUGGCAAGCGGAGUCGCGCGAAGUGAGUAAUGGGAUCGGGUCCACGAGUGGCCGGAGUGGAAGGAGCACCUGGACAGAGUGCGCGACGUUCGAGCGACGGAGGCGGCGGCGACGGUAAUAGCAGCAGCGGGAAGUAGUAGUAGUUCCUCGGAGCAGGGCUACCAGAACAACACACGAAAGAUUCCAAGCGGAGACCGGGUCGUUUUGCCCCAACCUUCUGUCCUAGUGUUCCGAGAAUGAAGCAAGGAAUACGGAAGAAAACAUGGACGACAGAUACGAAGGGAGAAGGCGAGUAAAAGAAAAAGAACUUGCAAAGGAAAACAUCUAAAAAACAAAUAAAUAAACAAUGGAGUAA